UACGUAGGCAGCGAGCGUUGUUCGGAGUUACUGGGCGUAAAGCGUGCGCAGGCGGCUUUGCAAGACAGAUGUGAAAUCCCCGGGCUUAACCUGGGAACUGCAUUUGUGACUGCAUGGCUGGAGUGCGGCAGAGGGGAUGGAAUUCCGGCGUGUAGCAGUGAAAUGCGUAGAUAUGCGGAGGAACACCGAUGGCGAAGGCAAUCCCCUGGGCCUGCACUGACGCUCAUGCACGAAAGCGUGGGGAGCAAACAGG
rnacentral:rRNA from 1 species